UAAAAAACUCUACAAAAUGGCAUAGGACUCAAAGCGAUUUCUCGCCAAAAAAAUUUUCAAUUUUCAAACGCCGAUUACGCCCAAAUUAAAAAAGCUAGAAGAAAACGCUUUUUUAGAUCGGAAAGAGCACAUCAAAAUCUAUAAGAUAGAAUCGGUUUCAUUUGAUUUUGAGACACUUUAAAAAUUUUUAAAAAUUUCUAACGGGGGGGUGUAAAAUUUUUUUUAUUUUUUUUAUUUUCUCAUUUACGGCUAAACUAUUCUAAAAAGUGGAACUGCGCCUUUUAUACUUUGUUGACAACUUUAUUGAAGAGGAUGUUAAUAAUUACUUUUUCUGUUUGUGCUAAUGCGACAUUCUCGUUUCUAUUUUUUCGACCAAACCCGGAGCCGCUCCGGGCAACGGUUCCGGCUACAGAGGCGAUCAAAGUUUUUCACUAAAAAAAUUCAUAAAAAAAAAACUAAAAGUCGUAGAGCAUUGCGGUUUGUUCGAUUGAAUUCUACGGCUCAUUUUACAUAUUAUAUCGAUUUUUCACAAGAAUUAGAAAUUUAAAAUUUUUUGCCUAAAUUUAGGGUGGCCAUUUGUCUUAGUGAAAAAUUUUAUUCAUUAAAAAAAUUCAUAACUCGAAUAAAAGUCGUAGAGCAGUGCGGUUUGUUCCGUUGGAUUCAGCGGCUUUUUUUCUCUAUUAUACUAAUUUUUCACGCAAUUUAAAAUUUUCAAUUUUUUUGCUCAAAUUUCACCUUCAAAGAGGUGAAAAAAAAUAUUUUUUUUAAACUCACUCCAGUAGAUUUUUAUGGACUCUACAUGUCUUAACAACCCACAAAAGUUGUUAGAAGUCCACAAAAAGUCCAUAUGUUCGAUUUUUUGAUGUUUGAUUUUUUCAAUUUUCGUCGCAGUUUUUGUCGAUUUUGGGUACCCGGAACAUUUCUCGAGCAAUAGCUCCGGAACUAUUCGAGAUAACCCCAUGAAGUGUAGCAUCGUUGGAAAGCCCUUUUAAUGAUCUAUCAUUUGCAAAAAAGAUUAUUGUUGUCCGACUUAUAGUUUUCGAGAGAAUGCAAAUAAAAGCGAAAAUUAGAUCAUAUACUCAAAAAUUCAUAACUAAAAAACUAUUAGGAAUUUGGCAAUUUUCUUGAUGCCAAUCGAUUCCCCGGAUCAUUUUGCAUAGGUAUGGAUCAAAAUAGUUCCACUUUUUAGAAUAGUUUAGCCGUAAAUGAGAAAAUAAAAAAAAUAAAAAAAAUUUUACACCCCCCCGUUAGAAAUUUUUAAAAAUUUUUAAAGUGUCUCAAAAUCAAAUGAAACCGAUUCUAUCUUAUAGAUUUUGAUGUGCUCUUUCCGAUCUAAAAAAGCGUUUUCUUCUAGCUUUUUUAAUUUGGGCGUAAUCGGCGUUUGAAAAUUGAAAAUUUUUUUGGCGAGAAAUCGCUUUGAGUCCUAUGCCAUUUUGUAGAGUUUUUUAUUCCGGUUAUUCUCCAUUUUUCCGUUUCUCGAUAACUCUAAUAGUUUCGCCGUAAUUUUUUUUUCACCUCUUUGAAGGUAAGUGUAUUACUCAGGAAAUUUUAGCAAAAAAACUGAAAAUUUUAAAUCUCGUGAAAAGUUGGUAUAACACAGAAAAUGAGCCGCUGAAUUCAAUGGAACAAACCGCAUUGCUCUACGACUUUUAGUUUUCGAGUUAUGAAUUUUUUUGUUGAAUAAAACUUUUCACAAAAAAUUUUAAAUUUUUAAUUUUUGUGAAAAAUUGAUAUAAUAUGUAGAAUGAGCUGUAGAAUUCAAUGGAACAAACCGCAGUGCUCUACAACUUUUAGUUUUUUUUUUUGAAUUUUUUUAAUGAAAAUCCAAAUCUGCCAGAAUCAGAUCACUACGACUAACCGUUCAGAAGAUAUCGGCAAAAAUAGAGAAAACUUUACAAAUUGAUUCAACUAAAUUUUUAUCAUUGACAAGCAAUUUUUUGGAGUUAUUUUCUUAUGAUUAAGUGUUUCUAACGUAGAAUGACCGGCGGAAUCUAAAUCUGCAAGAAUCGGAUCACUACGACUAACCUUUCAGAAGAUAUCGGGAAAAAUAUAGAAAACUUUACAAAUUGAUUCAACAAAAUUUUCAUCAUUGACAAGCAAUUUUUUGGAGUUAUUUUCUUAUGAUUAAGUGUUUCUAACGUAGAAUGACCGGCGGAAUCUAAAUCUGCAAGAAUCGGAUCACUACGACUAACCUUUCAGAAGAUAUCGGGAAAAAUAUAGAAAACUUUACAAAUUGAUUCAACAAAAUUUUCAUCAUUGACAAGCAAUUUUUUGGAGUUAUUUUCUUAUGAUUAAGUGUAAGAUGAUGAAGAUGAUGGUUGUGGUGUUUCUUGUCGUUUCUCACGUAUGUUUUCGUUUAUAUACUGCAUUCGUUUUGGAUUAACAAUAAACGCACGUGGUACGUUGAUUUUAGAUAAAAUUUGUGAAAAAUUUUUCCAACCAGUCGGUUCAGCAGACAGUCUACUACUACUAGUACCACUUUUCAUAAGGUCAAUGAUUAUAAUUAAUUAUAUUUGAAUCAGGAAUUGUUUUACCGUCGUAAAUAACGUUACCAACUUCGUUCCAUGCAACACCAUUGCUUGUUAUAUAAUCAACUAAAACACUAGCCUUAGCUUGUAAAGUUUUCGGUAACGAUUUUAGAAAAUUUUUGUUAAGAUGAUCGGCUGCUAUUAACUUAUUAUUUUCAACAUCAACAUUUUCUUUUUCACCUGUUUCAAUCAUUGGUAUUGUUACAGGUUCACGAAAUCGAUUUAUCACUUUUAAAUAUCUUUGAAGAACUUGAUUGUACAACGUCCAUUUCUCGUUGUCGUCAAUGUGUUUCAGUUCUAUAAUUCUUCACAUUUCACGAUCCAAAUCAUUUAUGAUGUUUGGUUGAUUGCUGGUACCACUUUGCAUACGUUCAAAUACACCUGGAUCAACCAUUAUCAUUUUCUUAGCAUGCUCCAUUAUCGUUAUUUACGAAAUAAAUGACCCAAUACACCCGAUAUUAUUGGCGCUAACAAUAACGGUAAGAAGGCACCACCUUUUUGAACAAUCAACUUUUUCUUUUGCUGAACAGACAAUUUUCGAUUAACUAAAUCCCUCAACACUUUUUUAUGUUUUUUUAGUUUACUUUUUUGUACGAUUCAAUGGAACUUUACCCAACAAAGUAUUAUGAGCGCAUUCACAAAUACAAUGAACCAGAUUUUUGUCCGCUGUAUUUAAAAUUGAUUUACGAUAUUCAGGUGUUGUUUUAUGUAAGAAUUUUAAAAGAUCAGCGUUUCUUGCUAACGUUCGCGACAUCUCAAAUACAACUGAGAAAUGAAUAACACGUUUUUUAAAUUUAUACUUUUUUCAUACGUCUCUUAGGUAUAUAUGCAAAAGUAGGUGAUUCAUCGGGUAAAAUGUUUGUACGAAUACGAUAAUCAUCGGACGUAUCCUGUUUUAAAUCGAUUAACAAAUAUCCAUGCGGUUUCAUAGUCGCAUCCUUAUAAGCUUCUUGAAGAAAUUUUGUAUUUUCUGGAAAAAUCUGUCGGGCUAAAAAAUUGACUUGAGCCUUGUCACGGGGGUUUUUGAAAUAUAUAAUGUAGUUUGCAUUCAGUGAAAUGUCUCUCUGUCCUUUGCCUUGGUGGAACAGAUUUUGCGUAAUAUAAAAAACACUAAGAUUUCGAUGAUGGCUACCUUUUGUAAAUAUAUCCACAACACCACCAUUUGUUUCACGCAUUAAAUCAUCCAAAAUUAUUAACGUCGGCUUUAAACCAUCAAAUUCAGUCAUAUCAGGCAUACCUUGACGAUACUCGAUUCUUAAAUUACUAACAAUAUCAUUUUUUUCAUAUAACGGUUGCCAUUCAUCAUAAUACUAUAUCACACGAUCAAAACUUGUAUCACACAUUGAUUUCAAAUGAUUUAAGAACUGCGUUAUAAAAUGUGUUUUUCCACAACCUGAAGGGCAGUGACAAUAGCCGUGAACGGUGCUUUAAAACUAAAAAUGUUUCCGUACUUCAAUGUUUAUAUACAUUACGUAUAUAUAGAAGGUCUUCACGGAUCAAUUUAAGUACAUUUAUUUAUAUUUUUUUUAUUUAAAUUUCGUACCGAUGUUUGAAAAGCAUCCCAAACGAUAUAGCGACAAAAGGAUUAUAGGAUUUGCAGCGACAAUUAGUAACCUAGACAGUCGUCUGUCUGGCUGUUUUGAUGAAAGAAAAGAUGAUUCACCGAACCAUUAGAAAUCUUUCUCUCAAAUUUCAUCCCCUACCAACAUCACCACCACCACCACCACUACCACCUUCAAACCCUUUUUUCCUCAUUUUCAAAGCUGACUUUCGGCGACACAAGUACCUAUACAUUUUUACGUGCCAAGUGUUAAAUUGUGUGACAAAUGUUUGAUGGACAAUGUGUAAUCCUGUACUCCAGAGGGGAGUACCGUCUAACAUUUAGGCGGUUCACCACGUAUAGAGCGUUACAGGAGGAGAAUAUCCUCUGCAAGUGGUGCGCCAGGCUAGAAGAAAAAGUCUGGUACAAACAUAUGCACAUUUAUAAUGUAACACUCAAGUGUACGCGGUGUGAAACACCUAUAUUACCCCGGACACAUAUGGGGUGUCCUAGACGGAUACAUUUAGGGCGGGAAAAGGUACCCUAUAAUUCCCUUUUACGGAAAAUUGUGUUCCCGGAAUCGGACGAUGACCAGUCUGAAGAAGAAAGCGGCGUCGAGGAUGUAGAAUGAUUGUGUGGGCGAUUCUUAAAUAUAUGUUUAUUUUUAAUAA